GGUGAUGAUAGAGGUGCAAGAUUCAAGAGUAACACAAUGGAGGAUGAACAAGUCCAGAGAUCGUGUGUGAAAGGGGAGCUUGCCGAAGUAUAGCAUUGUUGUUUCCUUUGUUGUACUGGUUUUACAUUUAAGAAAUGUAAGAUUGUCGAUUCUAAAAGUUUCGGAGAGCUAUCACACAU
rnacentral:ncRNA from 2 species